rnacentral:rRNA from 1 species
GAAUAUUGGACAAUGGGCGCAAGCCUGAUCCAGCCAUGCCGCGUGUGUGAAGGAGGCCUUCGGGUUGUAAAGCACUUUCAGCGAGGAGGAAGGGUGGUGUGUUAAUAGCACAUCAUUUUGACGUUACUCGCAGAAGAAGCACCGGCUAACUCUGUGCCAGCAGCCGCGGUAAUACAGAGGGUGCAAGCGUUAAUCGGAAUUACUGGGCGUAAAGCGCACGUAGGCGGUUAGUUAAGUUGGAUGUGAAAGCCCCGGGCUCAACCUGGGAAUUGCAUUCAAAACUGGCUAACUAGAGUAUGUGAGAGGGGGGUAGAAUUCCAAGUGUAGCGGUGAAAUGCGUAGAGAUUUGGAGGAAUACCAGUGGCGAAGGCGGCCCCCUGGCACAAUACUGACGCUGAGGUGCGAAAGCGUGGGGAGCAAACAGG